rnacentral:rRNA from 1 species
AGAGUUUGAUCAUGGCUCAGGAUGAACGCUAGCGGCAGGCUUAACACAUGCAAGUCGAGGGGUAACAGGAGGUGCUUGCACUUCGCUGACGACCGGCGCACGGGUGCGUAACGCGUAUACAAUCUACCUUUUGCUGAGGGAUAGCCCAGAGAAAUUUGGAUUAAUACCUCAUGGUAUGUAGUAAUGGCAUCAUUAUUAUAUUAAAGGUUACGGCAAAAGAUGAGUAUGCGUUCUAUUAGCUAGAUGGUAAGGUAACGGCUUACCAUGGCGACGAUAGAUAGGGGCCCUGAGAGGGGGAUCCCCCACACUGGUACUGAGACACGGACCAGACUCCUACGGGAGGCAGCAGUGAGGAAUAUUGGACAAUGGGCGCAAGCCUGAUCCAGCCAUGCCGCGUGCAGGAAGACUGCCCUAUGGGUUGUAAACUGCUUUUAUACAGGAAGAAACACUCCCUCGUGAGGGAGCUGACGUACUUAAGAAUAAGAUCG